rnacentral:rRNA from 1 species
UACGUAGGGGGCAAGCGUUGUCCGGAAUCAUUGGGCGUAAAGAGCGUGUAGGCGGCUCGGUAAGUCCGCUGUGAAAGUCCAGGGCUCAACCCUGGAAUGCCGGUGGAAACUGUCGAGCUCGAGUCCGGAAGAGGCGAGUGGAAUUCCUGGUGUAGCGGUGAAAUGCGCAGAUACUCAGGAGGAACACCAAUGGCGAAGGCAGCUCGCUGGGACGGUACUGACGCUGAGACGCGAAAGCGUGGGGAGCAACAGG